GUGGCAGCAGCCGCGGUAAUACGGAGGGGGCUAGCGUUGUUCGGAAUUACUGGGCGUAAAGCGCGCGUAGGCGGCUUUGUAAGUUAGAGGUGAAAGCCCAGAGCUCAACUCUGGAACUGCCUUUAAGACUGCAUCGCUAGAAUCGUGGAGAGGUGAGUGGAAUUCCGAGUGUAGAGGUGAAAUUCGUAGAUAUUCGGAAGAACACCAGUGGCGAAGGCGACUCACUGGACACGUAUUGACGCUGAGGUGCGAAAGCGUGGGGAGCAAACAGGAUUAGAUACCCCAGUAGUC
rnacentral:rRNA from 1 species